ACGAACGCUGGCGGCGUGGAUAAGACAUGCAAGUCGAACGAGAGAAUUGCUAGCUUGCUAAUAAUUCUCUAGUGGCGCACGGGUGAGUAACACGUGAGUAACCUGCCCCCGAGAGCGGGAUAGCCCUGGGAAACUGGGAUUAAUACCGCAUAGUAUCGAAAGAUUAAAGCAGCAAUGCGCUUGGGGAUGGGCUCGCGGCCUAUUAGUUAGUUGGUGAGGUAACGGCUCACCAAGGCGAUGACGGGUAGCCGGUCUGAGAGGAUGUCCGGCCACACUGGAACUGAGACACGGUCCAGACACCUACGGGUGGCAGCAGUCGAGAAUCAUUCACAAUGGGGGAAACCCUGAUGGUGCGACGCCGCGUGGGGGAAUGAAGGUCUUCGGAUUGUAAACCCCUGUCAUGUGGGAGCAAAUUAAAAAGAUAGUACCACAAGAGGAAGAGACGGCUAACUCUGUGCCAGCAGCCGCGGUAAUACAGAGGUCUCAAGCGUUGUUCGGAAUCACUGGGCGUAAAGCGGGCGUAGGAUGUUUCGUAAGUCGUGUGUGAAAGGCGCGGGCUCAACCCGCGGACGGCACAUGAUACUGCGAGACUAGAGUAAUGGAGGGGGAACCGGAAUUCUCGGUGUAGCAGUGAAAUGCGUAGAUAUCGAGAGGAACACUCGUGGCGAAGGCGGGUUCCUGGACAUUAACUGACGCUGAGGCACGAAGGCCAGGGGAGCGAAAGGGAUUAGAUACCCCUGUAGUCCUGGCAGUAAACGGUGCACGCUUGGUGUGCGGGGAAUCGACCCCCUGCGUGCCGGAGCUAACGCGUUAAGCGUGCCGCCUGGGGAGUACGGUCGCAAGAUUAAAACUCAAAGAAAUUGACGGGGACCCGCACAAGCGGUGGAGUAUGUGGCUUAAUUCGAUGCAACGCGAAGAACCUUACCUGGGCUUGACAUGUAAUGAACAACAUGUGAAAGCAUGCGACUCUUCGGAGGCGUUACACAGGUGCUGCAUGGCCGUCGUCAGCUCGUGUCGUGAGAUGUUUGGUUAAGUCCAGCAACGAGCGCAACCCCUGUUGCCAGUUACCAGCACGUGAAGGUGGGGACUCUGGCGAGACUGCCCAGAUCAACUGGGAGGAAGGUGGGGACGACGUCAGGUCAGUAUGGCCCUUAUGCCCAGGGCUGCACACGUACUACAAUGCCCAGUACAGAGGGGGCCGAAGCCGCGAGGCGGAGGAAAUCCUGAAAACUGGGCCCAGUUCGGACUGUAGGCUGCAACCCGCCUACACGAAGCCGGAAUCGCUAGUAAUGGCGCAUCAGCUACGGCGCCGUGAAUACGUUCCCGGGUCUUGUACACACCGCCCGUCACAUCAUGGAAGCCGGUCGCACCCGAAGUAUCUGAAGCCAACCGCAAGGAGGCAGGGUCCUAAGGUGAGACUGGUAACUGGGAUG
rnacentral:rRNA from 1 species